GUGGGGAAUAUUGCACAAUGGGCGAAAGCCUGAUGCAGCGACGCCGCGUGAGCGAAGAAGUAUUUCGGUAUGUAAAGCUCUAUCAGCAGGGAAGAUAAUGACGGUACCUGACUAAGAAGCACCGGCUAAAUACGUGCCAGCAGCCGCGGUAAUACGUAUGGUGCAAGCGUUAUCCGGAUUUACUGGGUGUAAAGGGAGCGCAGGCGGUGCGGCAAGUCUGAUGUGAAAGCCCGGGGCUCAACCCCGGUACUGCAUUGGAAACUGUCGUACUAGAGUGUCGGAGGGGUAAGCGGAAUUCCUAGUGUAGCGGUGAAAUGCGUAGAUAUUAGGAGGAACACCAGUGGCGAAGGCGGCUUACUGGACGAUAACUGACGCUGAGGCUCGAAAGCGUGGGGAGCAAACAGG
rnacentral:rRNA from 1 species